UACGUAGGUGGCAAGCGUUGUCCGGAUUUACUGGGCGUAAAGAGCGCGCAGGCGGUCGUUCAAGUCGCGUGUGAAAGCCCCCGGCUCAACUGGGGAGGGUCACGCGAUACUGAUCGACUCGAAGGCAGGAGAGGGUAGUGGAAUUCCCGGUGUAGUGGUGAAAUGCGUAGAUAUCGGGAAGAACAUCGGUGGCGAAGGCGCUCUACUGGACCACAACUGACACUCAGGGACGAAAGCUAGGGGAGCGAAUGGG
rnacentral:rRNA from 1 species